rnacentral:rRNA from 1 species
AGUGAACGCUGGCGGUAGGCCUAACACAUGCAAGUCGAACGGCAGCACAGUAAGAGCUUGCUCUUACGGGUGGCGAGUGGCGGACGGGUGAGGAAUACAUCGGAAUCUACUUUUUCGUGGGGGAUAACGUAGGGAAACUUACGCUAAUACCGCAUACGACCUACGGGUGAAAGCAGGGGAUCUUCGGACCUUGCGCGAUUGAAUGAGCCGAUGUCGGAUUAGCUAGUUGGCGGGGUAAAGGCCCACCAAGGCGACGAUCCGUAGCUGGUCUGAGAGGAUGAUCAGCCACACUGGACCUGAGACACGGUCCAGACUCCUACGGGAGGCAGCAGUGGGGAAUAUUGGACAAUGGGCGCAAGCCUGAUCCAGCCAUACCGCGUGGGUGAAGAAGGCCUUCGGGUUGUAAAGCCCUUUUGUUCGGAAAGAAAAACCGCACGUUAAAACCCCCCUGUUCUGACGGUACCCAAAGAAUAAGCACCGGCUAACUUCGUG